rnacentral:tRNA from 1 species
GGGAAUGUAGCUCAGUGGGAGAGCACUUGCCUAACAUUCAUGGAGCACUGGGUUUAAUUCUCAGUAUUGCAA